rnacentral:rRNA from 1 species
GAACGCUAGCUACAGGCUUAACACAUGCAAGUCGAGGGGCAGCGGGAUUGAAGCUUGCUUCAAUUGCCGGCGACCGGCGCACGGGUGAGUAACGCGUAUCCAACCUUCCGUACACUCAGGGAUAGCCUUUCGAAAGAAAGAUUAAUACCUGAUGGUAUGAUGAGAUUGCAUGAUAGCAUCAUUAAAGAUUUAUCGGUGUACGAUGGGGAUGCGUUCCAUUAGGUAGUAGGCGGGGUAACGGCCCACCUAGCCUGCGAUGGAUAGGGGUUCUGAGAGGAAGGUCCCCCACAUUGGAACUGAGACACGGUCCAAACUCCUACGGGAGGCAGCAGUGAGGAAUAUUGGUCAAUGGGCGCAGGCCUGAACCAGCCAAGUAGCGUGAAGGAUGACUGCCCUAUGGGUUGUAAACUUCUUUUAUAAAGGAAUAAAGUCGGGUAUGGAUACCCGUUUGCAUGUACUUUAUGAAUAAGGAUCGGCUAACUCCGUG